rnacentral:lncRNA from 1 species
GUGAUCAUCUCCCCUGGUCUCCCGACGCCUCCGCUGAGCCCUUAUCGCUCUGCAAGACUGCCAUCUGGAGAGUUGCAGGUCUCAGAGAUGAAUGGAAGUGGCCCAACCACUCUUAGCUUCGGAUCAUAUUAUGGCCCCGCGCAGUCACAUGGUGGGCUGGCCAAUGGCGUGCAGGGCAUGGGCUCUGCAACUUUGCCGCGCAG